UUAGUACUGGAUUAGAGGUCUGAGCACGUAAAAGAUGUUAAUUCCUCAUUAUGCACGUACGAUCAAUUAGUGAACAUAGUAGUCUGCGAUUUUCCUUUCUCUGAUUCAUAUACGUAAUAUUUUUCAUUGAUGGCCGGAGUUUCACGUGGAAAACACUCCCCCCCGAUCUCAGCAAGAUGGUUUGAAUGAACUCCACAUCCUUUGUGCAGGACAAGUCCUGCUCAUGUUCCAUUUACAUAUCCCUAAUCCGUACAUUAGUCAAACCGAUUCACUUCCUCGAUCCGCACCAGUGUAAUAACCUUGUCGAUCCAUUAGUUUUUCAGUUCGGUGUGGUCAAGACACCGAAACAAUUCUAAGGACCAAGCCGGUGCGGCACAAGGACGAACUUAUGGCCGCGUUGGCGUGUCAGACGAAGAGGCACAGAUUUAACCGGGAUGUCAACAUUGGGACCAGAAGUUCAACGACCGGCAUACUACGCUGCCGGCCCCCACCACCGCAACGGCAGCGCGUCUCACUUGUCUGGUUCCCCGUGCAGGCAAGUCGGCAUUGCUCCGCCGCCGCCACCGAUCAUUUUCAAAUGGUGGAUUUGUGAAAAUGCGGACUGUCGCCGUGAUUUACCGAUGGGGGAAUACCCCCUUUCAUAUUUUUCUUUUCAGCUGGAUUAGUUCGUCGGGUGCGGGGUGGAUGGCGCUGCGGAAUUGUCAUAACAUCUUCAAGGACACACUUGUCAUUCUGGAUUUGGAGAUGAAUAAUUGUUGCCUAACUUGUCUUGUCUACCUCUUUCUAGAAGAGAUUUAAAUAAACACAAAGCUGCAUAAAACAAAAAAGUGUGUGGGAAGUUGGCCAACUUUUAAACUAAAGAACAAAACAAUUCGUCAAUUGACUGGAAGCUUCCUCAAGUUGGCCAUUUCGUGAAACCCUUGCGGCACUAUUAUCAACAAACAAUCCGGCAUUUCAAUAUCGAUUAACCAUUGAUCCUUUUGUCAGUGCCUCUGCCGUAUUUUUCAAUCCCACAGCCACAAAAGGAUUAAGAUCGAUUGUCUCACGUCCAAAUAUAACGGUCCGUAGCCCGGACAAAUGGACAAUUAUGCAUUUGCGGCGAAGUGACCACCGGCCAAAUUCGCCCAUUGUCCGAGAUUUAGCGUGCGACCACUUCUGGGAAUCUGCUUUCUUUGCUCUGCGGAUUAGGCUUCCCUUUUUUUUUGCACGCCGACCAGAUCCAUCUUUGUGGACAGCUGUUUGGACGGACAAAUUAACGGACACCGAGUGCAUUUUGAUGUUUGACUGCCCAACCUGGCUGAAGUUCCGGACGAAAGGGGACAAACGAGACAACAAUAUGCAUCAAUCGCGACGUGUGAUAUUGCGUAACAAUUACAAUUAACAGUCCCCAGUAAUUGGAUUGGAUCUCUAUCGAUCGUCCGGUGUAAAACUGUUUAUUCAUGUUCCACGAGUUGUAGUUAGACUUGCAGUUUACAGGAUUACGACGUCGCCCCACGAUAAAACGCCAAUAAAAUAUUUAUAUCAAAAUCGAAUCCUGGUUACAUGUUGUCGGUUUCUAGAAGACCGAAGAGGCGAAAAAUAAAGAGCUGGUAAACAAGUGAAUUGCAGAGGUCGUUGACUGCCCCAGAAUCCUACUAAACUUGAAGAAGUGUCGGCCAUAGAAAAACCUAGACUUGCAAUAAUCCUCUCUUGGUGCUUUCUACACAAAAACAAUAACCCUCCUCCACCAAAACCGAAUCAACACCAAACAAACAUACCAAACAACAGUUUCGGUUGCACCACUAAGAUAAACAAAAUCACAAUUGCAAAAACCGAGUUCAAUGAACCGCCGAAACCGUCGGUUGAACUUUAAGAAGACCGGACGUAAGUGUCAAGUUCGUGUGGCGAGCUUGUUUUAUUGGCCAAUUCGGUUUGUUUCGCAAAUUGCAUUUUUAUGGGUUUGCAUGAUGGACGUGGCUGAAAAAAAGGGCUGAGUUGCGUCAUCGAAACUGGUAUUUUAUGGACUUCCUGGCCAAAAAAGCGAAGAGAGGAAUGAGAUGAAAAACAACGGAAUGCUUAAAGUUUGAACUUGGCGUUGUUGAAGCGUUGAAUAUGUUUAAUAUUGAGAUGCCAAGAGUAUGGUAAAGGAAGGUCAUAUAAGAAUAAGGAAGAAGGUAAUCAGUUGAUUGAUUGGUCUUUCAAAUUUGUUGUUACUAGCAACUAAAGGAAUUAAUAAUUGUUUUACAAGAGAUUUUAAGUAUCGAUUAUUGAAAAUGAUUCCCAUUGUUCUAGAAAUCUGAAAAAGAAAUUCUUCUUCUAAACACAAAAAUCUUCUUCCUUAAUCUUCAGAUUUAGCUCCUCCUAAAGUUUGAUCAAUGCCAACUGAUUACAUUAGUUUAAAAAAUAACAAACAAGUUAAAUUUGAAAUUGGUAUCAAGGUACCAUUGUAGAAGAUCAUCAUCUGCUCUUCCUUUGGUUGUAAUUAAAGUUGUAUUUCGAAGUAAUCCAACAAGUUUCACUGAGUCAUUCUCAGAUGAUUCGAGUCGAAAAAGCCAGUGUUAACGUCUUCUGGUAAGAGUUGCACCGCGGUGCCCCUUUAAACCACCAUAAUCCGAACCACCGGACCAGACUCAUUGUGAUACAAUCUCGGAACAAGUCAACAUCAUCACGGACAGAUCAAAAUUCCACGAGAAGACCGCCGGUCCAUAAAUCCAAGCAGAUUUCAAUCCGCGUUGGCGCUGCGGUCUUGAAGAUGUGGCAAUGACAGUCAAAAAAGGCCAUUGCCAACUUGAUUGCAACACGAUGGUCCCGUGAAACGAGUCGGUUCGUCGACCCCGACUCGUAAUGUGUUACGCCAACAACACCACGGUACCAUCCAAGACGUACGCCAUUGACCAACAGCACGAUGGAAGAGGGACCGCACCAUUGGAGGCGUGUUGCAGCUUCGUCGCCGCAGUAGGUGUAAAAAUGCUGCAAAAUGAGGGCGAAAGGUAAACCGUAAGUGAAGUCGUAUUUGGUAUGGAAUCGCCCGUAAACAACGCGAGGACUCGCGGCUACGCUCCUUUUCUGAGGUUACUGCGGAUCGUUGGUCCACAUUCUGCCCAUGCGAAAUUCCAUCAACCAAACAAAGACGAACAGUCGUCCUUUCUCCUGGCCGAAACAAGGACAGCGCUCGCUCGAGGUCUAUGAACUUGACUGGUAUAACUGUAAUGCAUUGCAUAAGUGACGUCCCGUUACAACUUUCAUUCAGGGACGGCAAGUGGUCGGAAUAAGAUUUGCGCAAACUCUCCUCCAAAUGUUCGGGCGACGGUGUCGUGUGCGGACGGCAGGAAGGGACGCAGGAAUCGUUAGGUUAUUAUCGGGCUGAUGGGGAGGACGAGAAGGAGGGAAGGAGUCAUGUGGAGAUCCCUCGGAAAGGGUUAAUGCCAGAUGGCAACCCAUCAAGGUUGAUUUAAGGAUGACAAAAAGACGCCUAUUUUUUGAAAAUUACUGCUUUUUUGCUUCAUCAGAAACACAUUAGAUGGAUCUGUCACAGGAAAUGAAGAAAGGUGCUGCACCAAUUAAGGAAAUAUCUCAAACCAGUUUAAAAUUUAACACUCUAAAUUAAAUUAAAAAUUAAAAAAA